rnacentral:rRNA from 1 species
UACGGAGGGAGCUAGCGUUGUUCGGAUAUACUGGGCGUAAAGCGCACGUAGGCGGCGCAGCAAGUCAGGGGUGAAAUCCCGGAGCUCAACUCCGGAACUGCCCUUGAAACUGCAGUGCUAGAAUCCUGGGGAGGCGAGUGGAAUUCCGAGUGUAGAGGUGAAAUUCGUAGAUAUUCGGAAGAACACCAGUGGCGAAGGCGACUCGCUGGACAGGUAUUGACGCUGAGGUGCGAAAGCGUGGGGAGCAAACAGG